ensembl:lncRNA
CAACGCCACCGGCACUUCUAAGAAUAUGCUUCACCACACAAAUCGUCAACACAGGUGCUAUUAAGAAUGCUAAUCGAUAAAAUGUUAUGCCCUCGUUGUUAAAAUGUUGUAUUUUUUGACCCUCAUAAAAUGAAAGUUUGUUGAAGAAUUAGUCUCUAAAGCAAAACUUUUUGGGGGGGAACAUUUUUAUUUCCGGGAAACAAGAAAUUUUCACUUGAGAAAACAAGAAAAAGAACACAUGUUGUUACAACUGGAGCAAAAUUCACUCUGACAGUCAACUUGGUGCCAAAAUACUCAAACGAGGACCCUGCGCAGCUCCUGCUAGUUGUCACCUACGGGUAGAAAAGGACAAAAUAAAAUGUAGAGGAUUGAAAGGUUCUCACUGCAAACUGUACAAGAUCCACACAGAGGGGUUGGAGCUCUGCUUUUCAUUCAACUUUUCUUUUUUUUUUUUUCAAACUUGGAGCUUUCAGCCCUCUCCUUUGUUUCCGGUACUACCUGCCCACGUGCACAAUUCCUGAAUUUUUCUGCGACGGGGCAUUUUCAUCUUUGCCAUUUCCUCUGGCUUUAGGCUUCUCUGUGCAGUGUGUGUUGGUUUUCUAGGUGUGGAUGGAUUUGCAGAGAAGCUGCAGCGGUGUGUCUGUCCCUCCCUUCUCCCUCCCAGGAUGGCCCGUAACCCGCUUCUGGGUUCUCUCUCCGCGACUGAAACCUCGCUGGUCUCCUCGUCUUGCACCGGGCGUGAGUGCGGUGGACGCUGGAAUAUUCGCUCGGGAAAGCCACGAAUGUGAGCCCAGGAUGGAAGCAAACUUGGCUCGCCUCGCCCUCCGAGCAGGCUCGCCGAGGAUCAACGUUUCUCUAAGAUUUUGCUCGGCAGCCUCAUCCUGGGACAGGCAUCUAUGAGUCAUCGGCUCUGCGGGUCACAUGGCCAACGUGACCAAAAUAAAGUUUCAGUAUUUUAAGCCGCUAGAAAAGGGGACAACGGAGCACACCGGGGGCGGGCGACAGCGGUCACAGGCUGGCCGGGCACCCGCGCGAGGGACCGCGGCGGCGCGGGCCGAGGGGGCGGGGAGGGGAAGGGGCGGGGCCUGGCUGAGACGCGCCCCACCCCCCACGGCCCGCAGCGACGCCCGGACUCCCGGGCCGGCGGGCCGGCCGGCUCCCGAGCGCUGCGACCGGCGGAAGCCAGCCCCGAGCCCCCACGGCUCCCGCUGCUCCCCGGAAGCGGGAGGCUGAGGGAUCCCGGAGAUCCCGCUGCAUUCUCCACUGCCACCGGGACCCCACGCGCCGGCAGCGGCUUCCCCGGGAACGUCCUUCAGCCCCGGGAGCACGCGGGAAAAGCCCCAGCGCGCCAAUGAACGAGCGCCUUCCUCAUGACGGUCACGCUCGGGGGCGGGGCUUCCCU